rnacentral:rRNA from 1 species
UACGAAGGGGGCUAGCGUUGUUCGGAAUGACUGGGCGUAAAGGGCGCGUAGGCGGACUGGUUAGUCAGACGUGAAAUUCCUGGGCUCAACCUGGGGGCUGCGUUUGAGACGGCUGGUCUAGAGUGGGGAAGAGGGUUGUGGAAUUCCCAGUGUAGAGGUGAAAUUCGUAGAUAUUGGGAAGAACACCGGUGGCGAAGGCGGCAACCUGGUCCUUGACUGACGCUGAGGCGCGAAAGCGUGGGGAGCAAACAGG